GUCAUAUAUGCUACUUAUUUAUAUACAAUGUUUUGCUAAGUAAGCAUACCCAUACUUGGAUGAUGGUCAAAUUGAAGCGUUUAAGUAAUGAGGGGUGAAGCCGGACCAUGCAUACAUUUUCUGCUCAGUUUAGAUCAAAUUUUGGUGGCCAAGGUGUUUUUGAGAUUAUACCAAUUUGUACAAAAAUAUGGAGAAUAAUUCAAAUAUUGGUCAAAUUCAGUCUGCCUCCUAGUUUA
rnacentral:lncRNA from 1 species